GGGUCAGUAGGUUGGUCGUGCCACCGGUACGUACUGGUCUCACUGAUUCCUCCUUCCUGAAGAACCGUAAUGCCAUUAAUUUGGUGUUGCGGGGAAACAGGACUGUUACUUUGAAAAAAUUAGAGUGUUUAAAGCAAGCUAACGCUUGAAUACAUUAGCUUGGAAUAAUGAAAUAGGACGAUCGAUCCUAUUUUGUUGGUUUCUAGGAUUGACGUA
rnacentral:rRNA from 1 species